UAUGUCCUCUGGAAUAGUGAUUGAAGCCUAAAGGGAUAUACGAAUCUUUAGGUCAUCUGGCAUGUAAAUCUCUUGUGAACAGUGCCAUGCAAAUGCCUGUUCUCACUUUCAGGUGACAUUGUGUGCAAGAAGC